GAUGAACGCUGGCGGCGUGCCUAAUACAUGCAAGUCGAGCGAACGGACGAGAAGCUUGCUUCUCUGAUGUUAGCGGCGGACGGGUGAGUAACACGUGGAUAACCUACCUAUAAGACUGGGAUAACUUCGGGAAACCGUCGCUAAUACCGGAUAAUAUUUUGAACCGCAUGGUUCAAAAGUGAAAGACGGUCUUUCUGUCACUUAUAGAUGGAUCCGCGCUGCAUUAGCUAGUUGGUAAGGUAACGGCUUACCAAGGCAACGAUGCAUAGCCGACCUGAGAGGGUGAUCGGCCACCCUGGAGCUGAGACACGGUCCAGACUCCUACGGGAGGCAGCAGUAGGGAAUCUUACGCAAUGGGCGAAAGCAUGACGGAGCAACGCCGCGUGAGUGAUGAAGGUCUUCGGAUCGUAAAACUCUGUUAUUAGGUAAGAACAUAUGUGUAAGUAACUGUGCACAUCUUGACGGUACCUAAUCAGAAAGCCACGGCUAACUACGUG
rnacentral:rRNA from 1 species